rnacentral:piRNA from 1 species
UGAAGCUAUCUGCACCAACCUAGA